rnacentral:rRNA from 1 species
CGAAAGCCUGACGGAGCAAUACCGCGUGAGGGAUGACGGCCUAUGGGUUGUAAACCUCUUUUUUCAGGGAGGAAUCAAAUGACGUGUACCUGAAGAAUAAGCAUCGGCUAACUCCGUGCCAGCAGCCGCGGUAAUACGGAGGAGGCAAGCGUUAUCCGGAAUGAUUGGGCGUAAAGCGUCCGCAGGUGGCAAUGUAAGUCUGCUGUCAAAACCCAGGGCUCAACUCUGGUCAGGCAGUGGAAACUACAUAGCUAGAGUUCGGUAGGGGCAAAGGGAAUUCCCGGUGUAGCGGUGAAAUGCGUAGAGAUCGGGAAGAACAUCGGUGGCGAAAGCGCUUUGCUAGACCGAAACUGACACUCAGGGACGAAAGCUAGGGGAGCG